rnacentral:tRNA from 1 species
UCGUCGGUGGUUUAAAGGUUAUAAUGGUUGCCUUCCAAGCAGUCGAUCCUGAUUCGAUUCCCGGCCGACGCA